rnacentral:rRNA from 1 species
GUUGGUGAGGUAACGGCCCACCAAGGCGACGAUCAGUAGCCGACCUGAGAGGGUGACCGGCCACAUUGGGACUGAGACACGGCCCAAACUCCUACGGGAGGCAGCAGUGGGGAAUAUUGCACAAUGGGGGAAACCCUGAUGCAGCGACGCCGCGUGAGCGAAGAAGUAUUUCGGUAUGUAAAGCUCUAUCAGCAGGGAAGAAAAAAAUGACGGUACCUGACUAAGAAGCCCCGGCUAACUACGUGCCAGCAGCCGCGGUAAUACGUAGGGGGCAAGCGUUAUCCGGAUUUACUGGGUGUAAAGGGAGCGCAGGCGGUGCGGCAAGUCUGAUGUGAAAGCCCGGGGCUCAACCCCGGGACUGCAUUGGAAACUGUCGUACUUGAGUAUCGGAGAGGUAAGUGGAAUUCCUAGUGUAGCGGUGAAGUGCGUAGAUAUUAGGAGGAACACCAGUGGCGAAGGCGGCUUACUGGACGAUAACUGACGCUGAGGCUCGAAAGCGUGGGG